UCCCUGGUGGCUCAGACAGUAAAGAAUUUGUCUGAAAUACAGGAGACCCAGGUUCAAUCCCUGGGUUGGGAA
rnacentral:tRNA from 1 species